rnacentral:rRNA from 1 species
AAUCUCUAGAAAUGUUUCCCGCGUUGGACCGCACACAAGUCUGUUGGAAUACAGCGGCAUAGUGGUGAGACCCCCGUAUAUGGUGCGGACGCCCAGCGCUUUGUGAUACAUUUUCGAAGAGUCGAGUUGUUUGGGAAUGCAGCUCAAAUUGGGUGGUAAAUUCCAUCUAAAGCUAAAUAUUGGCGAGAGACCGAUAGCGAACAAGUACCGUGAGGGAAAGAUGAAAAGCACUUUGGAAAGAGAGUUAACAGUACGUGAAAUUGUUGGAAGGGAAACGCUUGAAGUCAGACUUGCUUGCCGAGCAAUCGGUUUGCAGGCCAGCAUCAGUUUUCCGGGAUGGAUAAUGGUAGAGAGAAGGUAGCAGUUUCGGCUGUGUUAUAGCUCUCUGCUGGAUACAUCUUGGGGGACUGAGGAACGCAGUGUGCCUUUGGCGGGGGUUUCGACCUCUUCACACUUAGGAUGCUGGUGGAAUGGCUUUAAACGAC